AAAUCAGUUCACAUCGACAUGUUAAAUAAUCUCUACCACAUUUCACACGUAAAUAUAACAGAAUUGAAUAAGUUACACUACAUCAUCUACAGAAAAUAGAGGUUCAUAGGGGUUCAGGUGCUUCUGUAUACGACAUUAAAACACCUCUAACUUCUACUUUUGAAGUCAAGUCAAGAAAAGACUGCAAGGAACCUCAGAGGGGCUGAUCAAAAAGUUAAUACUGUUUUAUCUGCUUCUCAGCUCACCUUCAAGUGACUGAGAAUCCACCUCAACCUGGGAUAGUGGAACAGAAUGUGCUACAAAUGUUCAAAGGACUUUUAUAGAUGAAAUAAAUGGAGGUUUGCCAAUCGCCAAUUCAAUAGACAACUGUGAUUGCAAAGUAUCAGAAGACCUUAAGGUAAAGCAAGCAGAAAGCAAAAGAAUGGCUCAAGAUAAGCUACCCCUCAGGAAACAAUUGAGAAUUGUUAUGGGACAAUGCCCGGACUAUUAGCUUUGAAGAUUUUUACCUCCUUCCCAGCCAACCUGCAAAACUAGUUCUGUCCAGAAGGUCCAAAACCUGGGAACAGAGAAGAAAAAAGUAACUCUGGCCGUUUAAAACAGGCUUUUCUCUCAAGAGAUGGAGGUAAUUCUUCAGUGGAGCUGUUUGGGGGAAUAUAGACUGAGACAUGCACUUACCGGGGUGUCUGAAGAAGUUAGGCCUGCCUAGGUCAACAUUAGGGAUAAUAAGCUUUUAGGUCAGAGACACAUACUUGUAAACUGCUUGUUGUCUUAAACCCCCUUCUCUCUCUCUCUCUUAUGCUUCAUUCCUGCUGCAAAACAAGCAAUAUUUUGGUCUUAAGAAAGAUGUUUUGACACCGAGUGCUACUGGUCACAGACUCCAAAGAGAAGAACUGCAGGUGCCAAACCCCAUUCGGACCAGCCAAGUAAUCAUAGUUGAUACACUGUGUACUUGAGCCCUGGCCCAGUCUAUAAGUAUGUGUACAGUUGGAGCUGGGGUGUGUGUGAUUCUAGCAUGAGGAAACAUACCUGCACAAUCUCUAAUUGAGCUAGCUUGCUAAAAAUAGAGUGUAGAGAAAGCAGCACAAGCCACCCCAAGCAUGUGUCUAUAGUCUUGGAUGCAGCCUGUCACACUAUUUUUUAUAUUCAUACAUUCUAUUUUUAACAUGCUACCUUGUUUAGAGCUAGUGUAAGUAUGUCUCCUCGAACUGGGAAUUACACCCCAGCUCCACCCGUAGACAUACUGUAAGAGUUAGAGAAUUGUGGAAUUCUACUGCAGGAAAAGUAAAAACAUGAGGUCUGACACCUGAGGGGGUGCACUCAGACAGACCAGGACCAGAGGUGCUGCUAGCUCUGUAACCAUAACAGCUUCUUUCCACAAAAGGGAAAAAAAAAGAUUCCAACUUAUUUACCCAACCUUGCAACACUUGUCUGUCUUAUGCUAUCAAAGUUUUUUACAGUGCUUUUUUUCCCUUUUGGUCCUUAUGCAUCUGCAAAUAGAUUCUUACUUCACAUUCUUGAC